rnacentral:lncRNA from 1 species
CUCCCCCGCCCCCGCCCCCCGCUCUGCCGCGGGCCCCCGCCCGCCGCGGGCCGAGAGCUCGGCGCGCUCGACCCCGGGUCCCGCCUCCCCGAGGUUUUCGCUUUCGCUUUCCCGCUGAUGUCGUUGGGGAAAAUUAAGCUGCCGAGGCCAGGCUGGCGCAGAAGCCGUUCCUGGCGAGGGGCGCAGAGCACGGCRGCGGCGGCGGCCGGCCUGGAACCCGGGUCCCGCUGCCCGCGCCGGGCGAGAUGGCAGCACGCCCUGGGCUUCCCUGCACUGUCCCAAGGCUGGACAGCAGAGAAGCAAGAAAAUGGACUCCCUUCUCUGGGAGACUUGCUUGAAUGCCAGCCAUGGGCAGACAAAGGCGAGGAAACAGUGAAUCUCCAAGGUCACACAGUAAAGACUAGCCCCAGGACCAGGACCUCUGCCUCUGCAUUGGUAGAAUCCAGUUAAGGCUGGGACCUCAAAGAGAUCCCAAGGAAGUGAGGCCCCUAAGCCAGACCUCUGUCCCUGGACUGCUUGGUGAGGGCCUGAUGGAUCUGGGAUUCCUGCAGAAGGUUCUGCUGGCAGAACAGAACGCGGGGGCUGGACAAAGCCUUUCACCCUCAAGUAAGUUAACCAGCUGGCCCUGGUUUGCCUAGGACUUCCUCACUUUUUGCAAUGCAAGUCCCAAAUCCUGGGAAACUCUCAUUCCUGAGCAGAUUGAGACAGUUGUUCACCUUAUCUGCAAGGCCUUUUGAACCUGCAAACCUGCUCUGGAUCACACCGCACCUUGCAUAGCUGGAUUCCUGGAUGCAAGGGAGACUUGGUAGCUGAGGAAGGACCCUGAGCCAGUGCCGGGACAUUCCCAUCAGAGUCGCAAGCUGUAUAGACUGUGCCUGUGUCAACAGCACAGAGCUCCUAGCCAUAGCAUGGGGGAGAGUAGAAAGUGCAUUUUCACCUGAGCCUCUAAAAAUAUAGCAACCUGGUCACUUCUGUGUGGUCUAUUACGG